UUAGCGGGGAGGUCUUGCUAUGUUGCCUGGUCUGAUCAUCUCAAAGACAUCCUCCAGCCUCAGCCUGCUGAGUAGCUGGGACUGACUACAGUGUCUACUCUACAACGUUGGCACUUAAUUCAUCAAAUCCAAAAUUAUUCAAUACAGUUUUCUGAAGGGGAUUUGGCAUUAAAGCCCUGAUGAGCUCAUCAGAGCACCAUGUGCUUACCCAGGCUGACCUGCUGGAGGAUGAGAAACCAUGUGGAGAGAGGCUCCAGUUGUUUCAGCUGUGCCAGCCAAGGGGCCUGAAGGAGCGAACCUGAGAACAACCAUCCCAG